CCUACGGGAGACAGCAGUGAGGAAUAUUGGUCAAUGGACGCAAGUCUGAACCAGCCAUGCCGCGUGCAGGAAGACGGCUCUAUGAGUUGUAACCUGCUUUUGUACGAGGGUAAACGCAGAUACGCGUAUCUGUCUGAAAGUAUCGUACGAAUAAGGAUCGGCUAACUCCGUGCCAGCAGCCGCGGUAAGACGGAGGAUUCAAGCGUUAUCCGGAUUUAUUGGGCUUAAAGGGGGCGUAGGCGGUCGGAUAAGUUAGAGGUGAAAUCCCGAGGCUCAACUUCGGAAUUGCCUCUGAUACUGUUCGGCUAGAGAGUAGUUGCGGUAGGCGGAAUGUAUGGUGUAGCGGUGAAAUGCUUAGAGAUCAUACAGAACACCGAUUGCGAAGGCAGCUUACCAAGCUACUUCUGACGUUGAGGCACGAAAGCGUGGGGAGCAAACAGGAUUAGAUACCCGAGUAGUC
rnacentral:rRNA from 1 species